AUGGUCCGUUUGGAUGUCCGAAUUGAAUUGGGUUUUGUGGAAAUGACAACAUGGUUCAUUUCGAAAGGUGAAUUGGUAUUGCGUCGAAGUGUUUGGGUGCCGAAGAACACUGACACUGAAACUAAGCCUUCCCUAAAUUCAGAAAUAUGUUUGGCUUUCUUGGAAACGAAUGGACUCCAAAAGAAACAGGCAUCAUGCGAGAUUGGGAGAGAUUCACGUGUACCAGAGACAAAGAGGAACUUACGGUGGCAGUGGUCUACAGGAAACAUGCAAAUGGCGGUUUUCGCUUCUGCCAAUUCCAAUUCAUCGAUUUCUAGCCCAAAUAUUGACAUCCAAACGUGGUGUGAUUAG
rnacentral:rRNA from 1 species